AUGUCCUUCCCCCGCCCCUCAGCACGGGGGCCAGAGGUCCCCACUCAGCAUGUCUCCUGCUCUUCCUGCAGAGAGCUGCUGCGCUGUGAGGCUGCGCUGGCCCGGCUCUACUGCCGCAUGGCUCUGCUCAACAUCUUCGCCCCCAAGCUGCCCCACCUUUUCACACGCCUCUUCCACAUCCCCGCCAUCCGGGACAUCACGCUGGAGCACCUGCAGCUGCUGUCCAAUCAGCUCCUCGCUCCUCCGCUGCCAGAUGGCACCAUCAGCUCCAGCUCCAUCCUCCUGGCACAGUCUCUGCAGCACUGCAUCCACUCCCAGAACUGCUCAGCCACAGACCUCUUCUACCAGGGUAACUCCCAGACAGUGAGGGAGUGGCUCAACGUGGCCAUCACCCGCUCCCUGCACCAGGGCGAGGACAGCCUCUUGGAGCUGACCAAGCAGAUCUGCUCCUUCCUGCAGACAGCACCAGAGCAGUUCCCCUCGGAAGAGUUCCCAAUUUCCGAGUCCAAAGUCAACAUGGACGUUAAUUUCCCCGGGGCGGCUUUUGUCGUGGUGUCUUGUAAAGAAAGUCAGUCUGGAUUCCGCAAAGAGUAAGUUGAUUUUCUCAAGAGGAGUUGAUGGGAGAAGAGCCAAGUGAAUUCCCGUGACGCUGGCAGAGGGAAAUAUUCAAAUUGUCCCUGUUCUUCAAUGCAUACACCCUUUAAAACUGGUCUGCAGUUCCCGAGAUUCCCUGUGUGGGGACACGGCCCUCAGGGGUGCCGGAGAGGACUUGGCCAGCUUCCUGCUGUGUCUGUACUAACGCCUUUCCUCCCAGCUCCUCUCUGUACAAGGCACCAUGGGCGCGCGUGCUCGUGUACGGGCUCGGCCACAAAGUGAAGCGAACUGGCCAGCUGAACCUCAUCGAGGCCGCCUGUUACCCGAGGGACGCAUCCCCAGCCAACACUGGGCUGGCCCCACCGCCCACCGCUGACCAGUACCCCUCCGUGGUCCUCUCCACGGACAGGGUCCACAUCAGACUGGGUGAGUCUUCCCCUGCUCCGAGAGAUGCACGUCUGGGUCAGCUGCUCUGUGGCCUUCUUGGUGGAGAUGCAGGGGUCUGGCUGGGUCCCUGCUGCUCAGGGUGGUGUUUCUAUGAAGCAAAAGGUUGAAGGCCUGGCAGGGGCUACCCUGGGGUUUCCCCGCCUUUCACAAGCGGCACUGGCAUGCGGUUGUUUGUCGGAGGAGAGCAGUCUCGGCCUCACCUCAUCCUGC
rnacentral:lncRNA from 1 species